GGGUAUAGUUUCAUUCAUCAAUAUGCAGAUUGUCACGCCCUGACCAUAGAGAGCCCUCUAACUCAAAGUUUUUUGAGUUAGAUAAACUUGAAAUAGUCUUUCCAACUCUACUUCCAUGGCUUACGGCCAUACCAUAUGAAUACGCUUUUUGGGGGGAAUUUCAGGAAGUAAAUGAGCAGCAGGUGGCUGAGUGUUUGAGAGCGAGAGAAUAUUGUUUUUUUAGGUUUAUUUGAUACAUAAAUUUAAACGUUUUUCUGAGUGUAGUUUAUCCUCUUCUUAAACAUUUGCAUCAUUAUCCCCCAACGGAGUGAGCUGUUUGGGGGAUUCUGCUGAAAAUAACCGGACAGACGCCAUGACUUCGACGACGAGAAAGGACAACAGAAAAUCGUUUUAAAUUAAGAACUGAAUAGAAGUAUGAGAAAGAACUGACGGUGAAUGUGGAAAUCAUUGGAGAAGACAAAAUAAGGUCAAAUAAGUUUGUGGAACGAUACUUGAAUGUAGAACCAAAGACGGAAAUAAGUAUGAAGUAACAUGUCACGCCCUGACCUUAGUUCCUUUUUUAUGUCUCUAUUUUGGUUUGGUCAGGGCGUGAGUUGGGGUGGGCAUUCUGUUUUGUUCUAUAUUUCUGUGUUUGGCCUGGUAUGGUUCCCAAUCAGAGGCAGCUGUCAAUUGUUGUCUCUGAUUGAUAACCAUACUUAGGUAGCCUGUUCCCACCUGUGUUUGUGGGUAGUUGUUUCCUGUUGUGUCACCUGAUAAACUGUUUCGAUUCUCGUUGUUUCACCUUUGUUAUUUUGUAUUCAGUGUUCAGUUUAAUAAAUUUAACAUGGACACGUACCACGCUGCAUUUUGGUCCGAUCCUUCCUGUUCCUCAUCAGACGAGGACAACGAUCGUUACAUAACAAUGUCGCAUGUAAAUGGGAAAGAAAGACUAAUGGACGGGCUCAAGAUAAAGAACUGUCAAAUCAUGGCUAAAGAACUGGGGAACAAUGAACUUGUGGUGUCCUUUUUGAACUUGCCUGCAUUUAUUACGGAUGGUGAAUUACAUGUGAAAUCACAAGGCUGGAAAGUGAAGGCAACCACGCCGAUUAAGAAGAGGAUGUGUCCAGGAACAGACAUUGUAGACAGGAUGAGAUUUUGAAAAGUGUGAAAUCCUUGAAAUUUUCAACUAAAUUCAAUACAGUCGAGGGAUUUGAAUACUUCUGUGUGAUCCAUGUCAGUCAAGUGAAGGUAUGUAGACUAUGCAUUCAGCCAGGGCACAUACUUAAGGAAUGCCCAGAAUUCACAUGCCAUAAAUGUAGUGAACAAGGGCAUUAUGCUAGAGAAUGUUUGAACAUAGUUCAUGUGUGCAGAAUGUGUGACAGACCCAAAGAUAAAUGUAGAUGUAAUAAGGGAAAAGAUCACUUAUUUUUGCAAACAAUGGACCUCACUUCUGAGGAAGAUGAGGGGAGUGUGCCUAUGGAGAGGGAGGGAGAGAGUGACAUGGAGUGUGUCGCAGAUACAGGUGAUUCCAGAGACCGUAGCAGAUAUGCUUGGAGAGUAAUGUCGUCUGGCAAUACACGAGACGCAGUUUUAGUCUCUGCUGCUGACAAGGUGGAACAGCAGCACAUGAUGGGUGAACUAGAUACACAGGUAGAGAUGGUGCUUCUCAGGUGCCUGAGCCAGUCUUAAGCCUGUGUAAAAAUGACACCAAAGAGAGGACUGGGUCCACUGAAGUCGAUGGCACUGUUAAAUCACACUUUUCAAAUCCAAGUCAUGAGACGGAUGAUGAAAUAGAUAAUGAGGAUCCUUAGGAUGUAUGCAAGAAAUAAGAGGUCAUUGUCGAAAGCUAGGGAGAUGAUGGGUUUUGGAAAAAAUAAUGUCUCUUUUGAAAUGACGUGUUUGAUUCUGGUUAUAUUUCUGCACACAUGAAUAAUUAUUGAAGUUGCAUCCCUAAUUGGAAACAAAUUUGAGCAGGUUUUGGUGUCUGUUAAGGCAGACAUGUUGUGUUUUCAGGAGACUAAAUUGGACGGACUCCAAUACAGGAGAUUAAGAGUAAAUGGUCUGAUCUAAUCUUUUGUAGUCACAGAAGUAAUAAAACAUGUGGAGUGGCUAUUUUGAUAAAUGUGGUUUAAAAUGUCAAACAAAUAUAUGCAGACAAUCAUGGCAGACUUAUUGUAAUUGAUUUUGAAGUUCAAAAUGUCACUGUUUAAUUUAUGUUUAUGCUUCAAACAUUGAAUCUGAAAGGAGAGAUAUGUUUCACAACCUAAAACACAGUGCUCAGAAAACUGUAUACUGGUAGGAGACUUUAAUGUGAAGUGUAGUAGAAUGGAUGUCUCUCGUUGUGAUAGUUUCAGAUAUGAUUCUUCUAGAAAUGCUUUAUGGAAAGUUAUGAAUGAGGAAAAUCUAGUAGAUAUAUAUGGAGGGCUGAAAAUCAAAACAGAAGAGUGUUUGAGAAGGCAGGUGGUUAUAAAUGAAUUAAAACAAAGCAGAAUUUAUGUCCAGCUAAGGAAGAAGUGGUACAGCAUGUUCAGAGGAUGUCAUAACUUCACAGCAGUAAUGUCAUUUCAAAUAGGUUUUGGUGUGGAGAGGAGAGGUGUUUGAAUGCUAGCUUGCUUAAAGAAGAUACAUAUAUAAAUGUAAUUUCUAGAUGUAUUAAUAUUUAAUUAAAUAAUCCUAUUACGCAUGUUAAUAUUGGGUUGUGGUGGGAGAAACUCAAGGAUACGAUUAAAAAGUUGAGUAUCAAAUAUGCCAGUAGUAGAAACUUUAUUUUAAAGCGGGAGGGUAUUGAGCUGCGCAGGCACCUUUACUCUAACCCCCCACCAACCUUAACUGCAUCUCACUCAAAUUCUCACCUUUAUCUGAACCCCUUACACCAAUACCCGUUUUCUGCCACACCGCAUAGCAACAGUACAGACCAAACAAAAAGGCCCACACCACCUGGGCCACGCCCACCAAACACUAGAGGCAGCACACCUCACAACUUUACAGGGGGGACAACCAGACAACACAUUGCUCCACAAAUUCAAUCAAGACUACAAUAAGGCAAGUAAAACACACAGAACACCACAUGUGUAAACACAAUAUUAUAAUGUUUUAUAUUUUUCUCCCUCCUACCUGAUGAAGCCGAGUAAGGCAGAAACGCGUCGUGGCCGGGAUACCUCUAGAUCUUUAGUGUUGCUUUUAGGAAGGCAGGUUCCACACAAAUGUCAGAGGGGUCUCUUUUUGGCUACUUUUUCAUUUGUACUUUUCUUUUUCCUUAAUUUGAGUUUUACACAGCCUUAUAUAUACACAAACACGGCGAUGAAGGAUAGUGUUAUGUUGUAUCACCACUAUGUUAUCCCUCACCCCCUUGUGGGGAUGUAUACGCAUAUUUUUGUAUAAAUAUAUGGGUACAUAGGCACGUCUUUCAACAUUUUGAAGAUUUUAAAACGGGACGACAGUGGGCCUCACCUUGGUUUUCUUUAUUGAACUUGUUUUAAAUAAUUUGUUUUAACAGCAGGAGCCGACAGAGAUGGCCGCCUCGCUUCGCGUUCCUAGGAAACUAUGCAGUAUUUAGUUUUUUUACGUGUUAUUUCUUACAUUGUUACCCCAGGUAAUCUUAGGUUUUAUUACAUACAGUUGGGAGGAACUAUUGGAUAUAAGAGCAACGUCAACUCACCAACAUUACGACCAGGAAUACGACUUUCCCGAAGCGGAUCCUGUGUUUUGCCCACCACUCAGGACAAUGGAUCGGAUCCCAGCCCGCGAUCCAAAACAACGACGCCGUAAAAGGGGCAGACGAAGCAGUGUCUACCUUAUGAAAUUUGAGCAAGGGUAGCAUUCCAGAGACAUAAGAUACUAACGUUCUUUGCUUCACGGAAACAUGGCUCACUCGAGACAAGUAUCGGAGUCGAUACAGCCAGCUGGUUUCUUCCCCCAUUGCGCCGACAGAAACAAGCAUCUUUCUGGUAGGAAGAAGGGCGGGGGGUGUAUGCCUUAUGAUUAACGAGACGUGGUGUGAUCAUGACAACAUACAGGAACUCAAGUCCUUCUGUUCACCUGACUUGGAAUUCCUCACAAUCAAAUGCCGACCGCAUUAUCUACCAAGAGAAUUAUCUUCGAUUAUAAUCACAGCCGCAUAUCCCCUCAGAUGCAGACACAUCGAUGGCCCUGAACGAACUUCAUUUGACUCUAUGUAAACUGGAAACCACAUAUCCCGAGGCUGCAUUCAUUGUAGCUGGUGAUUUAAACAAGGCUAAUCUGAAAACAAGACUCCCUGAAUUCUAUCAGUAUAUCAAUUGUGCAACCAGGGGCCUGUUGCACAAAAGUAGAAUUAAGACAUCCGGGAUAAAUGACUCAGCUGAGCUCAAUGAAGCCAAAACAUGUGCGUCCAGGCUUAAUUGGUUGCACAAAGACCAAGCCAGGAUGAGCAGACACGGAUUCAUUAAGCCAGGUGAAACCAAUCCUGGAUAGGUGCGCGCUCACGGCUCACUCAAAUAGACCCCGCCACAGAUCACAGAUUAACUGAUUUACCAUGGCAACUAGAGCCGCGUACUUUUCCCCGUCGGAAGCACAAAUCCUCAUGGAUGCAUACGAGGAGGUAAAAGAUAUAAUUAAGAAGAAAGGCAACACCGCCACAGUGAUAAAGCAAAGAGAAAAAGCGUGGCAAAGUAUUGCAGACCGCCUGAAUGCGUAAGUAGUGCACAAUUACACAGUCACCGCUCCGCUGAAACAUCACAAUUACAAUUCAAAUAUUUAAUUCACAUCUCCAAAAAUGCAGUUGUACUGUAAUUAUGAAACGGUUAAAUUUUUAAUUGAAAUGCACUGCAGAUAUGAGUGAAAUUGUGUAAAGUAACUCCAUCACACUGUAUAAAGCUAUGAUACAUUUUGAUAUUUUUACUGAAAACAAGACAAAAAUAGCAAGUAAUUUUUUGCAGUGUGACUCCAUUAAAUGUGUGUGUGUGUGUGUGUGUGUAGAUUAAACAUGAACGGGCCAAAACGGACAUGGCAGCAGGUCAAAAUCAAAUACAAGAACAUUCUGCAGAAUGGUAUGGUCCCUGACUAAUAUUUAACAAAGCACAAGCAUAUAUUGUACCCAGAAGGUGCCUGCUCACACAUUGUCUGUACUGUUUUAGCAGUGAAAAAGAAUACCCACAGACAAGGCACGGGUGGUGGGUCACCAAAGGCUGACCUUACCCCAGCAGAGGACAUGGCCUUGGAGCUAAAUAAAGGCAGGCCCGUCUUAGAGGGGAUCCCUGGGGGGAAAGAGACGAGCAUAGGUUCCUCCCAAGAUGCCACCCGCUUCAUUCAAGUGUCUGGCAGCACUGUGUUCCUGUUCGAGCCACCAGCACAAGCACCAGACGAUGCUGAUCCAGGUGAAGGCCCCAGUGCAGCAGCAACAGCACAUGAUGGAGACGAUGAUGAGGAGGAGACCAUCUCUCUGGAUUCCAGAAGGCAUGAGGUAUCAUGUUAAGACUGUGAAAGUACU